rnacentral:lncRNA from 1 species
CGUCACCAAGGAGAAGCAAGAAAAAGGAAGAACAAAACCCUAGGUGGAAAAAUUCAAGGGAAAAGUGUGAAAAUUCAAGGAAACAAGUGAAAAAAGGUAAGAUUUUUCAAUUUAAGCUUGAGAUCUCUCUAUCUUAAGCCUUUUGUCUUAUUUUUCAUGGUUGAAUCACAUGAAAUCAUGAUGAAUCCCUUGCUAACCGAAUACUUAGAGGGAGGUUUUGAUGCUUGAUUUGGUUAGAUUUUAAUGUAUUUUAGUGUUUUUAAUUAGUUAGUAAUGUGUAGCAUGAAAAGCCAACAGGAAAAAUUCACUUCCUCCCAUCACCCAUCAUUGGCCGAAUCGUCCAUGUAGAGUGUGGAUGGUGGAUUUGAUUUUAUUUCAAGUGAAUUGGUUAGGAAAUGAUGAAGUACGGUAAGAAAAUCAAGUAGGAAAAAUCAUAGUGUUGAUGCACCCACCAUGACCGAAAUUUCCAAGAGAAAAUGUGAGGAUGAUUUUGCCACAUUUCAAGUUAUUUAAAUUGUGUUUAAUGAUUUGGAGAAUUGGAAGAGAAAUGGAAUUGUUUGGAAUUGAAUUGGACGUAUUGGCUAAUUAAUCGGGUGAUAGAUCGAAUUAGGUCAAUACCGUUUUAUUUAGGUACACAAUUGAAUUUGUGUAGAACACCGUGUUUAGAUGAUAAUCCGAACAAUUUGCAUUCCAUUUCAUGCAUCCAUAUAGUUUUAUAACGGUUUAGCACCAAUGUGGUAAAUUGCUUGAUUGUGCAUUAUGUCUAGGUGGUCAAUCCUCCAAUAAGGGUAAAAAAAUUGUACCCGAUGAUCGAUAGUCAGAGUACUCUAAAAAAAUUCGACACCCGAAAUAGUGAGUAACCUUAUCAUCAUCUUGAUUAUCUAAAGUGAAUUUUAAUUCAUUUUUGUGAUUUUAUGGAAAAUGAAUUUAAAUGGUAAAUCUUUAUGUUUUAUAAGCAAAAAUGUGAUUAAAUUAAAUGAUUUUAUAAAAUUAUCUUGAAAUUGAAUGAUGGUUUUGAAAAUUGAGUAAUUAGAGACUAAUUGCUGUGUUAUAAAUCAUGGUUUGAAUUGAAUGGCUUAUGACAAUAUUGGCAUGAAUGGUUGAAUUCGUAAAUGUGCUGAAAAUGUAUGAACUGUUGAUUUGCCUUGAGAGGCUGUAAAAUAAAAUAAUUACCAUGUCAUGCUAUGGCAAAUUUUAUUGUAUGGUGGGUUUAGCUUCUGCAGUGGGCGAGUUUUGUGAACCAACCUAUUAGAGGGACACGGAAUCCUGUUAUAUACGUACCUCGGUCAGAGAGGCGCAUAGGGUAACUCCCGAGGUAAAACUUUAGAGUUCACUUCACGCCAAACCACCACAUGAGGGUGAACUCAGCCAACGCCAAGGAAUGGUUAUGUUUUCAAAAUAAAAACAUGAUUUAUGCGUACAUUACUUUUUAACAGCCUUGGCGGACUCGGUUGGGAUAGCCCCCGGUCAAGGUAUCCCUAACAACUGAGUAUGAGAAUGAUUUUGGCACGAGCCAAACUUUUCAGGAAAUCAUAAGCCUUGUUGUUUAUUUGGGUGAAAUGAAUCUAUUUUAUCUUAUUAAAACGAGUUCGAAAUGCUGUGAAUCAUUUUUAUGCUAAUCUAUUUUAUCUAUCUCCAUUUACUCGGCUUUAGAUAUUUUAGAUGAUAUUUGUUUACUCACUGGGAUUAUAUAAUCUCACCACCCUCCUUUCCACCUAUUUCAGGCUCAAGAUAGUCGGUAGAUAGCUCAUUUCGUUAAGGGCUAUAAUUGGCUUUACUUCCUCAAAAAUCGUAGGUUCACAGCCUUCGUUCACCUUUGUCAUUUGGGGGCCCACGUGUCAUUGUAAAUUAAAUUACAUACCUUGACUAUCUAUAUUACAGUGUAUGAAUUUAUUUCGCUUUUACGCAACAAAAAUUUCUUACAGAUAACUCUAUAAAAAUUAUUUUAUAAGAAAAUGAAAUAUUUUUUUGAAUAUUUUUAUUAUAUUCAAAUAGUCAUAAUUUCACCUUAAAUGAAUGUUUUAGACAUCUAAACUUAUUUUUAAUUAUGAAAUAUGUAUCUUUCACUCGUAUACUAUAUUUUUAUAUGGAUUUUGAAAUUUUCAGAAAAAAUGAUCAAAAUACCCCUGUGAGACGAAAAUUAUUUUCUUUAUUGUUUGGGUUUGAAAAUAGCUUAUAAUCUUUCAAAAUAUGAUAUUAUCAACUGUUGCUCGUAGGGGAGAUAAGAAGACUGAUAUUAAAGCCUUGCGGGGUUUCAGUUGGCAUGCUGGGUAAUGAAUGUCUAUCGGAACAUCGCGACGGUUGUCACAGGCUCGAGGAGAGUACCGGGUCGUGACAUAUCUCAAUCUCAUGUGCACGCGAGCCCACUUCUUUUUCUUCUUUACAAGAAAUCUAUAAUGUGUUCGCUUAUUUAAAGCACUGGCACUUUUAUGUACCUUAGCAAUGUGGGAUGCUUGAAUCUUAUGAAAUACACUAGUUUUCCAACAAUCCCCCAUAUAUUUCAUAAGUUUUUAUAGGAAGUCUUUAUUGGGUCAAAUUUCAUUUAAAUGUAAUGCAUCGUGACUGGUGCUUUUUAAGUUAUGAAUCGCCCCUAGAAAGAAUAAAA